rnacentral:rRNA from 1 species
GUACACGCUGUGACUAGCAUAUCAAUAAGCGGAGGAAAAGAAACUAACAAGGAUUCCCCUAGUAACGGCGAGUGAAGCGGGAAGAGCUCAAAUUUGAAAUCUUAAAGGGUUUCCCUUUACGAAUUGUAGUUUAAAGAAGUGUUUUCUGUUGAGGUUUUGGUAAAAGUUCUUUGGAAUAGGACAUCAUAGAGGGUGAGAAUCCCGUAUUUGACCUUUACUUUCAACUUUGUGAUACACUUUCAAAGAGUCGGAUUGUUUGGGAAUGCAGUCCAAAAUGGGUGGUAAAUUUCAUCUAAAGCUAAAUAUUGGCGAGAGACCGAUAGCGAACAAGUACCGUGAGGGAAAGAUGAAAAGAACUUUGAAAAGAGAGUUAAACAGUACGUGAGAUUGUCAAAAGGGAAGCGUUUGACACCAGUGUUGUUUUUCUGAAAAUCAAUUAAAGAACUGUUUAUGCUAAGUUGUUUAGACUUUAUCAGCUAACUGUUUAGUUUUGAGCUUUUCUUUAAUGCACUUUUCAGUUAACAAGUCAACAUCAAUUUCUUUUGCUGUAAAAAAGCUUGAGGAGGUGGCUUGAGAUUCGUCUUAAGUGUUUAUAGCCUCCUGCCUAUGCAGUCGGAGAGAUUGAGGUCUGCAGCGUAGAUCCUUCGGGGCUAAAUGCAUUUGUGCUAAGUUAUAACAUUUUAUAGACAACUUGUUGACUAUGAUUUGUCUUGUAGCUUACUCGCUUAUGUUAUUUUACCUACGCUUAGGAUGUUGACGCGCGUGUGUGCGUG